rnacentral:rRNA from 1 species
AGUGGCGCACGGGUGAGUAACGCGUGGGUAAUCUGCCCUCGAAUCUGGGAUAACCCCGCGAAAGCGGGGCUAAUACCGGAUGAAAUCCAGUUAGCUUUGGCUAUAUGGAUCAAAGGUGGCCUCUGCAUGCAAGCUACUGUUUGGGGAUGAGCCCGCGUACCAUUAGUUUGUUGGUGGGGUAAAGGCCCACCAAGGCGACGAUGGUUAGCUGGUCUGAGAGGAUGAUCAGCCCCACUGGAACUGGAACACGGUCCAGGCUCCUACGGGAGGCAGCAGUGAGGAAUUUUGCGCGAUGGGGGUAACCCUGACGCAGCAACGCCGCGUGAGUGAUGAAGGCCUUCGGGUCGUAAAGCUCUGUCGAGUGGGAAGAACUCAUUCCGGCACAACAAGCCGGGGUGCUGACGGUACCACUGAAGGGAGCACCGGCUAACUCCGUGCCACCAGCCGCGGUAAUACGGAGGGUGCGAGCGUUAUUCUGAAUUACUGGGCGUAAAGGGCGCGUAGGCGGCCGAUUAAGUCAGAUGUGAAAUCCCGGGGCUUACCCCCGGAAGUGCAUUUGAUACUGAACGGCUUGAGUAUGGGAGAGGGAAGUGGAAUUCCUGGUGUAGCGAUGAAAUGCGUAUAUAUCAGGGAGGAACACCGGUGGCGAAGGCGACUUCCUGGACCCAAUACUGACGCUGAGGCGCGAAGGCGUGGGGAGCAAACAGGAUUAGAUACCGUGGUAGUCCACGCAGUAAACGGUGAUCACUAGGUGUAGCGGGUAUUGACGCUCUGCUGUGCCGGAGUUAACGCAUUAAGUGAUCCGCAUGGGGAGUACGGCCGCAAGGUUAAAACUCAAAGGAAUUGACGGGGACCCGCACAAGCGGUGGAGCAUGUGGUUUAAUUCGACGCAACGCGAAGAACCUUACCUGGAUUUGACAUCUCGGGAAUCCCGCGGAAACGCGGGAGUGCCCUUCGGGGAGCCCGAAGACAGGUGCUGCAUGGCUGUCGUCAGCUUGUGUCGUGAGAUGUUGGGUUAAGUCCCGCAACGAGCGCAACCCCUAUCUUCAGUUACCAGCGAGUAAAGUCGGGGACUCGGGAGAUACUGCCCCGGUCAACGGGGAGGAAGGUGGGGAUGACGUCAAGUCCUCAUGGCCUUUAUGUCCAGGGCUACACACGUGCUACAAUGGGCUGUACAGAGGGAAGCGAUCUCGCGAGGGUGAGCCAAUCCCAAAAAGCAGUCCUCAGUUCGGAUUGGAGUCUGCAACUCGACUCCAUGAAGCUGGAAUCGCUAGUAAUCGCGGAUCAGCAUGCCGCGGUGAAUACGUUCCCGGGCCUUGUACACACCGCCCGUCACACCAUGAGAGUUGGCUGUACCAGAAGUCGUCGGGCCAACCGC